rnacentral:lncRNA from 1 species
AGAGGGGAGAAGAGAUGGGAGACAGACGGAGAAGUCUCGGUUUCGACACGGUGGCCGCGCCGAUCAUGGCUCUCCGGUGUCGACAUCACAGCCGGGUCCGCCGUACAUGGUGGUGGGGUUAUGUCGGUUCUCCGGCGUCGGCGGUGGUUCCAGGGUUUCCGGUCACCGCAACGGCGGCCAGCAGCUGUAAGUGGUUGCUAGGUUGUCGGUUGCUGUUUCUGUCGACAUCAGCAGAACUCGAUGACUUCAAGAAGCUCCGGCGAAACACCUAGGGUUCAGGUCCUAUUCCGGCGAAGUUCCAUCAAGAAGGAUUAAACCCCUCUACUUUCCGAUUAUACAACCCGAACCAGCCACCUUUUUCUCUACGUUGCUUCUUCCGCUUUUGAAAGCAUAAUGACCGCCAUCUACCCUUUUUGGGAGUCGCUGGAGGUAACAUCGCUCAAGUCAACAAACUCAGGUCGCCAAUUGGCUUCUUUCCGAUUUAACCACCACCCUCAUCAGAUGAACUGAUCAAGGCUUGCAUGUCUCAGAUCUGUGUAGAUCGGUAGCCACCCUCGACAACUUAGAACUACGCAUCAAAGAAAUUAAAGGACUUCCAUGCUGCCUAAUCCAAGGAAAACGGCUUCGCGCGAUUCUUUAUCCGGAGAAGACCCAACACCUUGACUUCAUCAAUAACACAAGCGUGAAUCCCCUUCUUUUUAUUGAAGAUAGCAUUUUUCCUGGCUCUCCAAAUAGCCCAGCAAGUAAUUAUCAUACCUAAAUGCACCAAUAUGUAUAGUUCAGUUUUACUUUGUAUUUUUAUAGAACCCAUCUGUAUAGUUCGGUUUUACUUUGUAAAUUAAACAUUGCUAUGGUUGUGAGAAAUAAAACUGACUCUCUUGCGCAACGCGCGUUGGCAAUAAUCCUAUUUAACUAUAAAAAUGUAAGGAGUUAAUUACGUUUUUCGUUCAUGUGGUUUGUCAAAAAUAACUAUUUCAGUCUAUGUAGUCAUUUCAAGUAAACUAACAAAAUAACUGGAUGGUGCUAGUAAAGAUGGACUGUAAUAGUUACGAAAGUGAAACCAUAGGUACUGUUUUGCCAAUUUUUAAACUAAGGAAUUGAAAUAAUGAUUUUUAAGGGGAGUGGGGUGGUCACUAGUGAUAGAAUUCCAUCACUCACAAGCAUCCAAUCAACUCCUGCCAUGUCAUCAGCCACUAUUCUAUCACUCACAAGCAUUUUUGUAAUGGCGGUGGUCACCAGUGAUAGAAUUCUAUCACUCACAAUUUUUUUUAAUUUUUAUUUUAAAAUUAGAAAUUAACAAUAA